rnacentral:rRNA from 1 species
UUAUAUUUUAUUUAUUAAUUAAUUUUUUUUUUAUUAUAAAUUAUUAAAAAUAAUUAUUAUAAGAUUUGUUUGAGUAUUUUAUAAAGAAAAAAUAAUUUUAAUUAUAGUUAAAUAGUAUUGUGAAAGAAAAUUGAAAUAAUUUGAAAAAUUAAUAUUUUAAAAGAAAAUUUAAUUUAUUGUACCUUGUGUAUCAGGGUUUAUUAAAUAAAAAUUAUUUACUAUAAUUUUCUCGAUUUUAAAAGAGUUAAUAUAUUAUAAAAGUUAAUGUAACAAAAUUAUUUUGUAUAAUAUAUUAGAAAUGAAAUGUUAUUCGUUUUUAAAGGUAUCUAGUUCUUUAAGAAAUAAAUUUAAUUUAGAAAUUUUAUAUUAUUUAAUUAAAUAUAUUAAUUAAAUGAUUAUUUAAUUUUAAUAUUUUGUGGGAUAAGCUGUAAAAUAAAUUAUUAAAAAUUGUUAAAUUAUUUAAUAAAUAUAAGCUUAGAAAUAGCUAUUAUUAGUGAAAUUGUUAUAAUUUAUUUUAUUAUAUUAAUUAUUUAUUAAAUUUUAAUUAUGUAUUAAAGUAUUUAUUUUAAUUAUAAAAAUGAAAAAAUAAUGAUAAAAUUAGUAUAUUAUAUUGUAUAAAUAUAAUAAAUUGAAAAGUUUUUAUAAAGAACUCGGCAAAAAUAAUGUUCGCCUGUUUAACAAAAACAUGUCUUUUUGAAUUUUUUAAAAAGUCUAACCUGCCCACUGAAUAAUUUAAAUGGCCGCAGUAUACUAACUGUGCAAAGGUAGCAUAAUCAUUAGUCUUUUAAUUGAAGGCUGGUAUGAAUGGUUGGACGAGAUAUUAACUGUUUCAUAGAAAUUUAUAAUAGAAUUUUAUUUUUUAGUCAAAAAGCUAAAAUAAAAUUAAAAGACGAGAAGACCCUAUAAAUCUUUAUAUAUAAAUUAUUAGAAUUUUGUAGAUUUUUUUUAUUAUAAUAAUUAAUUAUAUUUUAUUGGGGUGAUAUUAAAAUUUAAUAAACUUUUAAUUUUUAAAAUCAUUAAUUUAUGAAUAAUUGAUCCGUUAAUAACGAUUAAAAAAAUAAGUUACUUUAGGGAUAACAGCGUAAUUUUUUUGGAGAGUUCAUAUCGAUAAAAAAGAUUGCGACCUCGAUGUUGGAUUAAGAUAUAAUUUUAGGUGUAGUCGCUUAAAUUUUAAGUCUGUUCGACUUUUAAAUUCUUACAUGAUCUGAGUUCAAACCGGCGUAAGCCAGGUUGGUUUCUAUCUUUAAAAAAAAUAAAAUAUUUCAGUACGAAAGGACCUAAUAUUUAAUAAAUAAUUAUUUUUAAAUUGAAUAUAAUUAAUUUAA